AAUAAAAAACAGAUAAAAAAUAAAUGCUAACUAUCACCAAAAUGACAGUAAAUACACUAUGACCUUUGAUCCGAACGAAUCCGAUGGAAAUGUAU
rnacentral:sRNA from 1 species